CCCGGAUGUAAUGCAGGAAGGAGAAGCCUGAUGCUGUGAAGGAUUUUUCAACCACGAUUCAGUUAAAUGAAUAAAAAAUGUGAGGAUGGGAGUCCACACCAGCUUAUGUACCUCCACCAACUCCACCAGGUAAUUCCGAUGACCAUCCAAGUGCAAGUCCAAAAAUUCCUCUCAGUUGAUCAUAUAGGAUUUGUGAGAACGUUCAUCAAUGUUUCCAGGUGUUUGCACGGUUUAAGUCAGUAUUAUGCACAUGGGACAAGGAAUUGCAAUUACUUAUUAUUAUUAUUAUUAUUAUUAUUA
ensembl:lncRNA